rnacentral:rRNA from 1 species
AUUGAACGCUGGCGGCAGGCUUAACACAUGCAAGUCGAACGAGUGGCGGCCGGGUGAGUAAUGUCCGGGAACCUGCCCGAUGGUGGGGGAUAAUUACUGGUAACGGUAGCUAAUACCGCCUACCAUCGGAUGUGCCCAGAUGGGCUUAGCUAGUUGGUGGGGUAACGGCGCACCUAGGGGACGAUCCCUAGCUGGUCUGAGAGGAAGACCAGCAACACUUGAACUGAGACACGGUCCAGACUCCUCCGGGAGGCAGCAGUGGGGAAUAUUGCACAAGUGGCUCAACCCUGAUGCAGCCAUGCCGCGUGUAUGAAGAAGGCCUUCGGGUUUUAAAGUACUUUCAGCGGGAAGGCGUUACUCUCAGAAGAAGCACCGGCUAACGCCGUGCCAGCAGCCGCGGUAAUAC